rnacentral:rRNA from 1 species
UGUGGUUUAAUUCGACGCAACGCGCAGACCUUACCUGGGCUUGACAUCCCUGGAAUCUGCUGGAAACAGUGGAGUGCCUGCAACCGCAGGAGCCAGGAGACAGGUGCUGCAUGGCUGUCGUCAGCUCGUGUCGUGAGAUGUUGGGUUAAGUCCCGCAACGAGCGCAACCCUCGCCUUUAGUUGCCAGCAUUCAGUUGGGCACUCUAAAGGGACUGCCGGUGUCAAACCGGAGGAAGGCGGGGAUGACGUCAAGUCCUCAUGGCCUUUAUGUCCAGGGCUACACACGUACUACAAUGGCCGGUACAAAGGGCGGCGAGUCAGCGAUGACGAGCAAAUCCCGUAAAGCCGGUCUCAGUUCGGAUUGUAGGCUGCAACUCGCCUACAUGAAGUCGGAAUCGCUAGUAAUCGCGGAUCAGCACGCCGCGGUGAAUACGUUCCCGGGCCUU